UGGGGAAUUUUGGACAAUGGGGGAAACCCUGAUCCAGCCAUCCCGCGUGUGCGAUGAAGGCCUUCGGGUUGUAAAGCACUUUUGGCAGGAAAGAAACGUCAUGGGUUAAUACCCCGUGAAACUGACGGUACCUGCAGAAUAAGCACCGGCUAACUACGUGCCAGCAGCCGCGGUAAUACGUAGGGUGCAAGCGUUAAUCGGAAUUACUGGGCGUAAAGCGUGCGCAGGCGGUUCGGAAAGAAAGAUGUGAAAUCCCAGAGCUCAACUUUGGAACUGCAUUUUUAACUACCGGGCUAGAGUGUGUCAGAGGGAGGUGGAAUUCCGCGUGUAGCAGUGAAAUGCGUAGAUAUGCGGAGGAACACCGAUGGCGAAGGCAGCCUCCUGGGAUAACACUGACGCUCAUGAACGAAGGCGUGGGGAGCAAACAGG
rnacentral:rRNA from 1 species